UGAAACGCGCAUACAUCGCAACAUGCGAUGUACACAUAGAUAAACGAAUCUAUGAAUAAAUUAGAAAGGUCAUUGCCUUCGUCAUUCAAACGAAAUCACGCCUAGAUAUAAGCUGAAAUUCAGAAGUUUCGUUCACUCCACUGCGAUCGGCAGCAUUUAUAUUGGUACUUCAAUUUAAACAUUUUGCCACAUUUCUGAUUUAUUAUCAUCAAUAAAAGUUGUUUUUGUGCAAGCUCGAAUUUGGACGAAGUGCUAAUUUAAGCCGCUGCGUCAGAUUAUUUUAAAUUUUCAUUAUAUAAAUUACGGAAAAUAUUUGCUCGAAUUAAGGAGCUCAGUUUGAGAAAGUCGGUCAAAUAGUGAAACAUAAUUCCCUUGUAGAAAAAAGUGAUACUGAAGCUGCCAAAUAUCUCAUCGAAGAAACACCAAUUAAAAGGGUUAAAGCUUUGACAUUGGUUUUUCAGACGUUGUCUCUUUUUUCGAUUAGAUAUUUGACUGUAUCAAAGCCAAACAUCUAAUCGAAAAAGAAGCCAGUGUAUUACAACAUUAUAAAACUACAGACAACGAAACACUUCAUGAGGUUGCAUCGAGCGGUAAUUGUAAACUUUUCCAAAUUAAGAAGAAAUAUUUACAAUGGAGUUUCAUUUUCGCACUGGCCUGCCAUCAAAGGCCAAAUGGAAAUGUUGAUAAAAAUGGUCGAAAAACCGCUCAAAGAAAUGAAAUGGUAAUUUAAGGUCCUAAUCGAACAAGGUGCCAAUGUGAAUACUGAAAUUAAAUAUAAACAAAUAUGCUGUAUAUUUGUGAGAAUUUUCGGCAUUCACAUUGGCCCCUUUGUUCGUUUAGAUAUUUCACAUCGAUGUUACCCAGAAAGUGUUUGUGAAUAUUUCUUCUAAAAAAUAGAAAUGAAUUAUUUGCACUUGAUUUGCUGAAACGUUUAAAAAUCCAAUUACUCCAAUUAUUGCACCAAUAACGAAUGGUUUUUAAUGAAAAAUAUCGAAUUCAAUUAUUAUACUACUUUAUCACCGAUAAGAACUAUUGUACAUUUCGCACAUAUAAAUUAUCAACAGCGGCACAAAGCCUUUAGUUCAGUUUUGUACGAGGAACAAUAAAGCCACACAAUGUCACUCUGCAGCUGUCUCACUUGUUUUAUUUCAAUCUUAAAACAUUUUACUGUUCAUGAAACCAAACGGUUUCUUAACUCGCGCUCACUCAACAUUUUGCCAAACUCGUUCCAUUGGGCUGUGUGUUGCUCGCGACAAAGAGAUAACGAUCGAGGUUCGUAAACUUCGAUUGGGGAAGGAUGAUAGAAGUGGGAAAAUGUCAAUUUUUUGAUUUCCGCGGUUUACAUUUAAAGUGUAUUUUACAAAUGAAUUCCUUAGUUUAACAAUAAUUUAAAUGAACCAUGCAAAAUGUGUGGUUUUGGACGAUGUUAAUGUAACUUAAUUGAUUUUGAAAACCAUUUACACACAUUUUCACAAUGUACCAUUUGAGAAAAACCUGAGAACGACCUGACAAAGUGAAUGAAACCUUAUCCAUAAGACUACUUCCAUAGUUCUUAUAUCGAUAUAAGUAUCCACGAGAUAGUUGAAAACGAAGAUAAAUUCAGCAGGAUAUGAGAAACGCAGUAGAGAUGCACAUUUUUGGUUCCCAUAUUCGGCUGAAUUUAUCAUUUUUCGGUUUCAGUGGGAUGAACCGACUCACGAAACAUCGGAUAUUACAUAAUUAAAAAAGAUUUACUAAAUUAAUUUUUAAAAAUUCGAUAAAAUAUGGAGAAAAAAUGUAAGCGCUUAAUUGUAUCACACAAACUAUUUCAAUGAUCCGAUUGAUUGAUAAAUAAAUAUAAAUCUACUACAUAAAA